ensembl:lncRNA
CCAACUCGGAUGGGCUGAGGCCCACCAACGCAGGAUCCAGCACCUCUGGCAUGUCUUGGCUCACGGGCAUCGCUGGUUGCUGGGGCGAUUCCGGAGGGCGGACAGAUGUUGGGUCAUGGGACCCGGAAGAAAGCCUGGGGUUGAAACCAUCUGCUGCCAUGGCCUGCUGCUGGACAUGCUGCUGCAGCUGGAGUUGAGGCUGGUUCAUCUGAGCCUGCUGCUGGGACAUCUGAGCCUCCUGCUGCUGGGACAUCUGAGCCUGCUGCUGCUGGGACAUCUGAGCCUGUUGCUGCUGGGACAUCUGAGCCUGUUGUUGCUGGGACAUCUGAGCCUGCUGCUGCUGGGACAUCUGAGCCUGCUGCUGCUGGGACAUCUGAGCCUGUUGUUGCUGGGACAUCUGAGCCUGCUGCUGCUGGGACAUCUGAGCCUGCUGCUGCUGGGACAUCUGAGCCUGCUGCUGCUGGGACAUCUGAGCCUGCUGCUGCUGGGUCAUCUGAGCCUGCUGUUGCUGGGUCAUCUGAGCCUGCUGUUGCUGGGUCAUCUGAGCCUGCUGUUGCUGGGUCAUCUGAGCCUGCUGUUGCUGGGUCAUCUGGUAGGUGGAGGUGCUAAGGCUGCGGCUAAAAGGAGGGGGUGCCGAGGUGUUCCCGGAGAUGUGAUCCCCGUUGGGGUUGGAGGUGGGGGAUGCGGGGGGCGGCUGGUUAGGGUGAGGGGAACCUCUGUAGCUCGGCACGCCGUCGGGGGCGGCGGAGGCGGGCCGCGGGGGCUUGUGGAGGGCGGCAAAAGGGUCUCUGGAUUGGGGCCGAGACGGCGGUCGGGAGUAGGUGUCGGGAGACUGGAAGCGAUUGGCGCCAGGAGACUGGACUGAGAAGGUGUCGUUUGACAGGCCCCCGGGGGUGAGGGGCGACGGGGCGCUGCCUUGGGACUGAGGGCUCGACGGCACCCGGGGGCAGGUCUCGUGUUGGACCACGGCGUGCCUUUGGGGCACGGGGGAGCAGCCGUCUCCCGACUGAGGUCUUGGAGUGAGGGGAGGCUGGCCGUAGGGGUCGGAGAAGGGGUUGGAGGGGGACUGCCUGUAGGCCUCCGAGGGGUGAUUGGGGGAAGCUCCGGGGUGGAGCGGCCCGCCUUCCCCUGGGUGCAUCCGUGGCAUCAGCGGGGCCUUAAACAAACCAUCCCCGGACUCCAGAACUCCUGCAGGGGAGCCCGUGGCCAAAUCGAUCCGCCCCAUCGAGGAGGAGCGGGGUGAAGGCGCGUUCAUAUCAGCCCGGUACUGCCCCGGGCCCGAAGGCGAGGCGGCCAUCGCCGAGGGGGAGGAAGAUGAGCCAUAUUCCGGGCGGCCCAUCCCCGGCUGGCAUCGGAAGGGAUCCCCAUAGUGGGGGGUGUGCGGAGGAGAGAAGAGCGGCUCCCCGGGUCCACCAGCCCUUGAAUGAGGACUUUGUGGAGGUCCUAAGGACUCCAGAGAGCCUUGUUGCAUCUGAAGCUGUUGACUCUGCUGCUGAUGUUGUUGCUGCUGCUGCAGCAGCUGCUGCUGAUGCUGCUGCUGCUGCUGCUGCAAUUGCGAUCUGAAAUAGGGAUCUACCUGCUGGGCCCGCCGGGGAGUGCCAGGGGUGCCUGGUUGCAUGUCGAAGGGGCCGGGGGCCGGCCGUCCCUGAGGUGGACCGUGCGGGCCAGGAGGAGGGUAACCUGAGGAGUUGGCCUGCGAGGGGCUGGUCCCGGCCUGGGAGAAGGGGGUGGAGGGCUGGGAGUGGGCGCGCGGGGACUGAGGAGGCAGCUUGGCAAACGGAUCCGUCCGGAUCUCGGCAGAGCCCGGCGUCUUCGGGGGCCCGUCCGGGAAAAAGGCGGAAGAGGAGCCGUGGAUCGGAGGGAAAGGGAAGGGGCUCUCCGCGGAGCUGGGCUGGGACGGGGUGGAGGCGGAGCCCGAGGGGGGAGGGAUCUGGAGGUGGAGGCUUGGCCGCUCGCCCUUCACUCGUCCUGGUUCUGUCUUGAUUGGCCGGCACACCUGGCUCUCCG